AUGUAUCAACAGAUUGGUAUUUUUCAGACAAGGCUGAAACUUAAAUUUUGUCCAGUCAUCGGGAGGGCGAAAAGUAGUCCAAAACUUCUCAAGCAAAUAGCAAAAACGAGAACCCCAGACGAGCAACAAUGUCGGGUUGCUUCUUGGCUCAGAUCCCUCUGGGUGAUAAUAUGGAUCUCAUCACCGUAUGAAUCAGGCCACUACUUUAACAUCACAGGUCAUCACCGGGAUCCGCGAACAACCAACCCCGAUCCAUGGGAAGGAAAAGAAAACAAAAUACGUACAGAAAAAUCAAACGGCAACCAGAUGCAGUCUCCUCAGUUCAGGUCUCCAGUUCUUCCACAUUGUGAAUUUCAGAAGAACGAAAGUAUUAUUUAG
rnacentral:rRNA from 1 species